GCCGGAGUGGUGGAAUUGGUAGACACGCGAGAUUCAAAAUUUCGUGGGCUUUGCUCGUGUCGGUUCGAGUCCGACCUCCGGUACCA
rnacentral:tRNA from 1 species